GGAUACUUGCUAAUUUAACGGUGUGAAAGAAUCGGAAUCGGUUGAAUUUUUAAUAGAAAAUUCUAUUCACUACCUUGAUAAAGAUCAAUAACUUCGAUCUUAAUUGAAGGAUCCGAUCAUCCAUUUUAGAACGUCGUUCGAUUCGACCGUUCAUUUUAUGCCCGCUUGAUGGACUUUAUUAUGAUUUCGAAAAAUUACGAAAUUUAUUUUCUAGAAGUUUCAAUUACUCUAGAUCAUAUUUAACGGAGCGGAUCGUCGAUUCGGAAGCUCCAUCAUUGAAACACUUAUGAGUACGAAGCUCUCUAUACUCAUAAGAGUAUAGUAGCCCUACUAUAUAUAUAUAUAUAAGAGAGAGAAGAGAGAGAGAGAGAGAGAGAGAGUGAGCUAGAAUGCUAUCGGUAGCAAACCGGCUCUGUUGCCACCCAUUUGUUUCGAUGAUGGAGCCUUAAAGACGAUCGGGCACUGUUGAACAGAUGCUAUACCACUUGAAAAUCUAGAAACCAAACAAAUCUUUUCGACAUUAUUAACCAAUGAUCAAAGAGGUGUCAAAAGGGUGAAUGUAAGGCGAGAAGAGGCGUGGUCGCGGCGUAACGGGGGAAACCCCGCCUAAAUGCAAUGGAAACGGGGAGGGAGGAAAGUCGGGAAACCGAGGGAGAAGAAGAGCGGAUGACUCGCGAGCGGAGGACAAAGCCUAGCAGCACGGGGAGAGGAGAGCAAGGUCAGGCCAUGCAGGGGUACCGCCCACGGGGGCUACAUUGAGAAAAGAGCGGAAAAGCAGGAAAGAGGAUGGCGGAGAGACGCAAGGGAGAGAGCAGUCAACGGGCGGAGCAGCGAUGGAGGGCUCGGCAGAAAAACAAAAGGGGUGGGCACGGAGCCCGGGGGCGCGAAGAGGAGUCGAGCGGAGCGGCGUGGAGGGCGGCGGCGCGCGCGUAGAGAGAGAGGAGAGAGAGAAGAGAGAGAGUAGAGAGAGAGAGAGAUAGAUAGCCGCGGGGAGGCAGGGAGUGGAGGAGCUGAGAGGAAGGGCAGAGCGCGAGGGAGGGGCGACGAGGGAGGUUGGCGGGCAGGGGCGACGGGAGAAGGGGGAGCGGGGAAGCUGAGGAAGGGAAGCCACCGGACACCGUGAGGGUGCGCUAAAGAAGGAGAAAAAGACGGGGAGGGGAAAAUCGGAGGUGCAGAGGGGAAAAGGAAGGGGAAGGAGAGGAGGAAAGAUGGCGGGAAAGGGAGCGGCAACGGGAUGGACAAGGGCGGGGAGCAAAAAGAAGGUGGAAAGGGGAGAAGGGGGGUGGGAAAGGAGGGACCGGAUAAAGGUGAAUGAGAGGGCUGGGGGGAGUCGUGCGAGACAAUCGGGGCAGGGGACAGGGAGGGGGGAGAGAAGCGAGGGUUCGGCGCGGGAUUGAGCUGCGGCGCAGUACCGGCGGCGAGCCGCGCCGGGGGGGAGGGCACGGGCGAGCGCCUCGGAGGGGGGAACAGGCCCGGCGGGGCGGGGGCGAGGGGCGCGGCGGGGACGGCGGGGCUGUGGGGCCGGGGAGGGCCGCGGGAGAGCGCCAACGGAGCACAUAAGAGAGGGGAACAGGUAGGUGGGGGAAGGGUGGAAAAAGGAAAGGGGGGGAAGGGAGGGCGAGGGCGAGCGAAGCGAAAGGGGGAGAAGCGGGAGGGGCGAAGAGGGGGCAAAGUAAAAAGCAGCCGCGGAAGGAAGCGGCUGGAAGAGAAGUGACUGGAGAGCAGGGGAGAGAGGGAGGGGAGGCGGAAGCGACGAAGGGGGGGAGGGGGGCGACCCAAACGACCGAGACGGGGGGCCAGGGCGGGACGGGUCGGAGGGAAGGGGUAGACGGAGCGAGGGGGGGGAGGCGCGGGCGGGAGGCGAGGGCAGGGAGAGGGAAGGGGGGCGGCGGAUAAGGCAACGGGGGAGCGGCGGGAGGGGUGAGGGGCGGAGCACGGGGGAGGUAGGUAGCGGCGGAGGACGAAGGGGGGGGGGACGAGGGCAGAAGUAAACGGGAGGGCGGCGGAGAGGAGGAAGGCUGGGGGAGGGGAACGAGCGACCCGCCAGCAAGAAGAAGGCGGGGGGGCCAACCACCAGCCCAAAGGCGGAAGCCCAGGAGGAGGACGAGCGGGGAGGCGGAGAGAGGGGAAGCAGAAGCGGGGGUCCACCCCGAGGGGGCCAGUGAGGGAGAGGGCGCGCGGGCGGGGGCGGGGACACAGAGGCUCGAUGGACAAGGGGAAGGAGGGCGGGCCGGACCGGGUGGGCAAGCGUGGGGACGCGAGUCAGGGAAAACACGCAAGGCACGGAGGAGAACACGGAGAGCAGAGCGAAACGGGCUGGCGGGAGGCAAAGGAGGCGGAAGGGCCGGCCAACGGAGAGGACGGGCAAGCGACAGAAAGGAGGAAUGGAACCAGUGGGCAAGAGAAGCGGGCCGAGGGCCGCCAGGUGGAGGGCGGCGGAGAGAGUGGGAGAGCGCCGGGAAGCACGCGAGGAAGGGCAGGCGGCCGGGGGGCAAAAAAGGGGGUGAAGAGCGGGGGCAAGGACGCAGCGGAAGGGGGAGGGGGAAGCAGACAAAAGGCCCAAGAGAGUUGGAAGAGAGGGCGAGGGAGGGGCGCGGUGGGGAUAAGGAAGAAAGGAAGGGCGGCGCCGUCCGGGCGAGGAGCGAAGAGGCGCGGAGGAAAGAGGGGGGCGGCAGAGGCGCGGGGGGAACGGGAGAGAGAGGCGGCAUGGAGGAGACCCACAGAAAGGUGGGGAGGCAGAGGGCGAGGCGAGUGGGGGGAGGCGAGGGGAAGGCCAGGGGGAAGAGACGACAAGAAGAUAAAAAAAGAAAAGGGUAGGGCACAGGGCGAGCGACGGGAGUGAAGGCGGAGACCGAAAAGCGGGGGGGGGGGUGGCCCGCGUGCGGGGAUGACGGAGCAGGGAAAAGCGCGAGGGAUGCCGCGGCGAGGAGGGACGAACGGGGAGCGGCAGGGCCAGAGUGAGGGGGGAGGAGGGGCGGAUGGAGAAGGGGGAGCGGCGAGCAGGGAAGCGCAGCGCAGGGGGGACGGGGGAGGAGAGAUCGCAAAGGGGAAGGGAGAGGGACGGGACGCAGGGAACAAGGGACCAGAGCCGCAACCGAAGCUGCGCAACGCGGCGCGCAUAAAGGGGGGGGAAUCGAGAGGGGAGGGGAGGGGAGGGGCGAGGCCGGAGGGCGGGGGGGGGGGGCGACUCACACAGCGAAAAGGCGGAGAGAAAAAAGCCGGGGGGUGGAACAGCCAGGGGGGGGGGGAGGAGGAGCAAGCGGAGGAGGGCCAGAGCGGGACCCGCGGGGGAGGGGGGGGGGGAGCGCGCGCGCGAGCACGCAGGACCCGGGGGGAGGAAAGGCGCGGUAGCGCGCGCGCAAGAGGAUAGGGUGGGGCACCAGGGAUGGGCGCGGGGCGCGCGCAAAGGCGACAACCAGGGCCGGCACAACGCGGGGGGAGGGGCGGGUAGGGGGGCGGGGCCCAGGCGAGGCGGCGCCCGGAAGGGGAAGCCCGCAACAAAGACAACGAACACAAAGGGGAGCGCCAACGUAGGAUGGGGGGGGCGGCAGCGGGAUGGCCCGGGGGGGGGGGGACCAGGGAGGGGCGAGCCGCCGGGGGAGCACAAUCAAACACUGAGGGGGAGGAGCGGACAGGGAGAGGGAGAGAGGAAAGGUAGGGAGAGGAGAAAAAGGGGGCGAAGGGCGGGGGAGGGGGGGCGAGGGGCCCGAGGAUGACGCGCCCGCCCAAGGCGGGAGGGGCCCGGCACGGGGCCAGGAGCCAGGAAAGGGGCCGCGAAGGGCGGCGGGUGGACGGGCGGAGGGAGGGGGAAUCGCGGGGGGCGCAAGCCACGAGGACAGAUGGGCACGCCGAGGGCGACAGGAGGGGGGAGACAGAAACGGCAAUAGGAUGGAACGGCCAGAAAAAAGGGGCGAUGGGGCAAGCGGGGCCAGGGGCACAAGGCACAACACAAGAAGCGGAGAGGGGCACGAAGCGAAGGAGGAGGGGACGAGACGAACCAAACGAAGGACCACGAGGCGGGGAAAAGGGGAAGCGCGACAUGAGGGGGGCGCAGAGAAAGCACGGCGGGAGGCGGGGCACAGGAGGGCAGGGAGCAGGGGCCGGGCAGACGGGGGAAAAAGGGAGGGACGCCAGAGCAAGGGGGACCGGGAGAGGGAGCAAGCGAGGGGGAUGCAAGAGCGGAGGAAAAGGCAGCAAGGGGGCAAGGUAGGAGCCGAAAGGACACACGCGGCGGCCAGGGGCGCGGGCGGGCACCAAAGCAGCGGCACACGCGGCAACCGAGAGCGGGCGAAAGCCGGCAGCGGGGAAGCGGGCCGGGCGCCGGAAAGGGCUGCGGAGCGCCCCCAAACCGAGCGCAGAGCGAGGGAUGGGUAUGGGCCAAAGAGAAAGAGAGCAGAGGGUGGAAGAUGACAAGGGGAGAGGCGAGAGGAAAACCGGCAGAGCACACCCCGCCCCUCGCGCAGGGCGCGGGGGCAGCCGGGGCGGGCGCGCGCUGAAAAGGAAAGAAAGGAGGGGGGGCCGUGGGGGAACCCGCAGAGCACCCGAGGGGGAGCGGGGAGAAGAGGAAGAGCGCGGGCGAGGAGUCGAGGAGAGGAAGGCUGAACCAACCGCGCGAUCAACCCACGAGGGGCCGGGGGUUUGGGAGGAGAGGGGAAGGGAGGGGGGGCGGAUGAGAGGGCCAAACGAAGAGGGGGAGGGGGACGCAGGGGACGCGGGGGGGAGAGGGCCGAGGGAGGGGCGAAAGAGGGCAAAAAGCAGCGCCGAGAAAGCGAAGAGAGGGAAAAAAGAGCAGGAAAGGAGGUGUGGCCGGGGGAAAGAGGGGGGCAGAGGAGGGAGGAGAGGGUAAAAAGGAAGGCGCGCAGAGCGCGAAAGGGCAGGGGGGGCGAAAAGCGGGCACACCGCGGGCAGAGAGCGAAGCGUCGGGAGACGGGACCGCGGGAGACAAGCGGAAGCACGGCGGGCGCACACGAUGCGGCACCCGCGAGCAAGAGCAAGGAGGAGACGGGGCACAACGACAAAAGGCCGAGGAGGCGAACGAAGUAUGUGUAGUGAGUGUGAAUAGGAGCAAGAGGAAGCAAGACGAGAGAGACAGCCAGAGGAGAGCAGACAUGGCCAAACAGACACCACCAGCUGGGGCAGCAGGCAGAGAGGGAGGGGCGGCGGGCAAAGAAAGACAGGAGGCGAGGCCGCGCGAGGGGGGGCAAGACGGGAAAAGGGCGUAAGGGUCGACCGCGGGAGCGGGGAGGAAGGAAGAGAGAAGGACAGAAGAGGGGCGACGAUGAGAAGCAAGGACGGACGAGAGGAAGAGGGAGAACGAGGUGACAGACGAUGAGAAGCGCGCGCAGAGAGAUUGAAGGAGACGACGCGAUGAGAGGCAAGAAAACACAGAGGAAUGAGAGCGAGCCGACAGAGAGGAAAGGAGCGGAACAGCCCCCACCGCCAAACGAAGCAGCGGGGAGGCGAAGAGGGUCAGCCGCUAAGAGGCGAAACCGAGAGAGACAGGGCGGGGAAAAGGGCGGCAAGGGCGGGCAGAAGGGAGAGGAGGAGGCCAAUAGCACCAGAGCGAACGGGGGCCGCAAAAGGGAGGAGCAGGGCAAGGGGCGGCGGCGAGAGGGAGAACAGGAGGGGCCGGCAGGGAGGGGAGGCGUGAGGGGCGCCAGAAAGACGGAGAGAGCGCCAGAGAAAACACGAUAAGGGCAGCGAAGAGACGAGAAGCGCAGACGGGGGCAGCAACGGGGGAGGGACAGCAGGAGACGGGCCGGCGAACGAGAACUGAAAGUGGGGGGUGGUCGUUGAGGGGACCAGAGAGAAGACUGGGCCGACUAUCAUCACUUUUUAGAGGAUAUUCAUUUUCAGCCAUUCAUUUUUACGCUCACUUGAUGGACAAUAGAACAAUAUCGGAAAAGCAUAAAAUUUGAUUUCUAGAUACUUCAAGUGGUAUAGAUCAUAUUCAACGGUGCUGAUCAUCGAUUUAGAGGCUCCGUCAUAAAAAACAAAUGGGUGGCAACGGAGCCCGUUUGCUACUAAUAGUAUUCUAGCUCAACUCUCUCUCUCUCUCUCUCUCUCUCUCUCUCUCUCUCUAUAUAUAUAUAUAUAUAUAUAUCCUCUUUGUAAGUUCAUUUAUUUUAGUAGCUUAUAGAGAAUCGCAUAUCUCUAUUUUAGGUUCCGACGAUUGAUUUUUUCUGUGCAUUUUCGACUGGAUAAUUUCUUAUCUUUGAAGCUGCAUUAAGGUAAGCCACCGGACACGCGUUAGUUUUCGCUAAAUAAUUUAGAAAAAUACUUUGAUUGUGUGAAAAUCUUAUUUUGCAGAUUUUAAAAUUAAGGGUUAAGUAUAUUAUUAAAUAUUUCUGUAAAUUGAGCUUCAACUGUGAUUGACAAGUUCUUUUAGCAAAAAGAAUUUUUGAAAUUUGAUAAUUUGUUUUGUAAAUUAGUGACCGGAUAAAUUUUGAAUUAUAAUGUCUUUUGGUAUUCUGCUAUACAAUGUUGGCCAUGUCGACAUGUAUUCUGUUAUAGAAGCUAGUUUCGUCUCUGUAUUGCAUCUUCGGGUACCCGCGGCUAUCCGCGCCUCUGUUCUGUAAUUGCACUUUCGAGCGCCUCUGUUUUGUACAUGCACCUUCGGGUGCUUCUGUUCUGUUUGCAUCUUCGGGUACGUCUGUUCUGUUUGUGCCUUCGGGUGCCUCUGGAUAUCGCCAACGGAUCACAUAAUAUAGUUAGAACAUUUAUUUUGUUUAAUUGUUGAAAAAGGAAAUGUUUGUAAAUUUAUUUGCUAUUUGAUCUGAAUCUUAAAUUUUGAUAAUCUGUAUUUUCUAAAGAUUUUGCAAAUUAAAAAUCAGCCGCUUAAAUUAAUUUCUGUAAUAGAAUUUACUUUAGAGCAUUUGUUAUAUAUUUAUUCGUAUGCUUAAUCCGACUAAUGUGGUGUAUGGUUGCGUACCCAAAUACCGAGACUGAUUUGCAGGGCGGGACCGGGUUUGAGUGAAUGUUAGACGUAGCUAGUUUUGUUUUUAGUCUCUUUCGUUUUAUGUCUAUUGCAUUUAGAUGUGAAUUUUGGGCUUCGUAAAUGAUCAACUGUUUAUCUGCUUUUAUUUUGUUAUUUCUUCGGAUCCACUUUUGUUAUUUAUAGUAUCUGUUAGACCAAAUUUUGUUUGCGAUGCAUAAUAAACUUUAGUUCUGCUUAUAUGAGAAUUCAUUUUAUAGUGUAACGAUCCGACCCGCCAGCAAUAAUAAUUCGUUGGGUCCAAACCACCAGCCCAAAAUGCUUAAGCCCAGUUAUUAUUACUAGCGUGUAGGCCUUAUAUAUUUUAAUCAGAAUCAGUUUUCCACCCCGAUGGUUUGGGCCCAAUGAGUUAUUAUUGCUGGCGGGUCGGGUCGUUACACAUAUGCUCUAUGUACAAUUUGGAAUGAUGCCUUUCCUUACCUUGGUGCAAGCUUGUUUUUACUCGAUUCAUUAAAACACCACUUCCACUUAUGAUAAUACUGAUAUCAUAGCUAAACUGUCUGUCUUUAUUCAAAUUAUGCGUAAUUUACCGGCCCAACCUAAUAUUACGUGCAAGCUACAGUGAUGAAGGUAAACCCAUUGUGCAAGAUAAGCUUUCCGAGGUGGCCGCCAGUUUGAUUUCUGCUUAUGAUAGUGGAGAGCUCCGUGAAGCACUGGAGGAAGGGCAUGCUGGUUGGCAAAAAUGGGUGAAGAGCUUUGGCAAGUUACUCAAGCGUAAGGUUAGUUUAGAAGCAUAACAAAAUGCCCAGAUAGUUUAAUAUAGUUGCUAAGUUUAGCAUGUUCUGUUUUUCAUAAUUAAUAAAUUACAGUUGCUUCUCCUCCUUUCUAUUAUCUAAAUAUGCUCGGAGGAAAGAUUUUGUCUUCAUAUUCUGUGGGAACUUUAUAUAUAUGCAUUCAUGUAGAUACCCACAUAAAUGUGUGUAUGCAUAGUGCUAUGCAUAUUUAUUUGUAAUGCUAAUUGAAUUCCAUGUUUAAGAGACGACAAGAAUAUAAAAAGGAAAAUUGUUAUGGUCACAGUUUCUAUCGACUUGGAAUUUAAAGUCUGAAUACCUAACAUCUUUUUUUUUUUUCCCCCUCUUCCUUUGAUUACUUAUCAGGGAAAAUCUCUAUUUAUGCCUCUUCGAGUAUUACUAACGGGGAAGCUUCAUGGCCCAGAUAUGGGGGGAAGUAUUGUUCUGAUUUAUAAAGCUGGUAUCUGCGGAGCAGUUAAUCCGCAAUCAGGUUUUGUACCUUUGGAUGAGAGACUCAAAAUUUUAAGGGAGAUUGACUGGGACGCAUUGAACAAGGGACCAGAUCCGCAACCCGAAUCUGUCGCAACCGUCGCUCAUUAAAUGUUUGUUUAACUAAUAUUUUAUUUUAUUUUAUUUUUCCUAUUCCUGAGGGCUUUUUGUUGUUUCUACUCACACAGCUAAAAUUCUGAGAGAAAAAGCCGUUGGUUGUAACAUCCAGCUUUUUGUGUGUAGUGAAUGUAGCAAUCUGAGUAGUGCAUCAUCUGUACCCUCUUUUGAUUUUGUUUCGGUGAUCUCUCUCUCAAUCAACUCAUGACCCUGUUUUUGAUUAAAUUUGGGUGAUCUCUCUCUCAAGAUUGAUAGUUUGUGCACCAUUUAGUCGCUGGUCGUCGCAAAUCUACAAACCAUUGCCGGCACAACUGCUGUUUUGUAGUUGGUUAUGUUGCUUGUGCAUUCUGAUUCUGGCCCUGAAUUGGAAUCCUCAACAACUACAACGACACACAAAUGGAAUCCUCCAACUUAUUAUUGGUUUUUCUUCAGGUUAUUGCCCUGUUUGUGUGUGACCAUUUGUAUUUUCUAUCCCUCCUGUGGUACUCGACAACAAGCACAUUAUGUUAGAUUUAGCUAAGUUAGAUUUAUAUAUUAAAUUUAAGUAGAUUAGAAAAUUGGUCGAAUUGCUUUUGAUGGUGUGGGAUUUUAUCCCUAUUAUUACUCUCCCCUCCAAGUCUUGAUUGUCCAUCACUUCUUCCACUUGAGCCUGAAUUAGCCUCUAAUUUCUCUUUUCUGACUUUCUUAUUCUAUUUUUAAUCUCUUUUUUUCGCAAUCCACUAUUACAGUAUAUGCUACAUAUUUAUUGCUACAGUAUUGGUGCUACAGUACUGCAAUAGUAUUUUAACUGCAUAAAAAAUUGUCUAUGGUUCAAUCUUUUGCCAUGUGACACAAUCAAACACAAUAAUCUUAUCGAGGAAAAGCUCAUCAAGGUUUUCAAGUAGGAGCCGAAGACACAACGCUUCGGCCAAUGGUCUCGGUCGGGCACCCAAAUCAUCUUCCAAACGCUGCAACUGAGAGCGUCGAAGCUGCAGCUUUGAGCUUUCUGGCAGUUGAAAGUUCGGGCGGGCGCCCCAAACCUAUCGCAGAUGCUAUGUUAUGUUUAGUUGCAAAUAGAAAUUAUCGGAGGGUUUAAGUACAAUUGUAGCACUUCUAUAGAAAACCUCUCAUAGCCAACACCCCUCCCCUCUUUCAUUUCUCUUUUGCACUCUCUUUUCUUUCUCUCUCUAAAAAGAAGAAAAAUCUAGUUUUUGCCCCUUUGUUGGAACCCUCAGAUCCACCCCUAUUGGGAGCUUGGAGAAGAUGAAGAGCUCUUAGAGGGAGCUCUAGGAUAGGAAAGGGAACCACCUCGCGAUCAACCCACAUUUUCCUUGCUUGGAGGAGAUGUUAAGUUGAAAUUUUUAGGGUUUGUUCUUAGAGAUAUUUCCAAACGAAAGAUUUUGAGGUUUUAACUCAGUUAGACUCUUUUUUAAGAGUUCCUUGAUGUUCUAAAGAGAUCAAAAAGCAUCUCCUAGAAAAAUCUAACUAGAGGUAAAAAAUAUCAUUGAAAUGGAUUUGAUUUUCCCUUUGUUUAAAGAAUUUGUUCAUAUGUAUGUAUUAUAGGUAAAAAAGUAAAUUAAAGUAUAUUUAGUUUGCAUAUCAUGAGAUUUAAAAGUUCAUGUGGGCUUAAAAGCUGUCACACCUCGGGCUAUAGCGAAGCCUCUGGGUACACUAAUAGACCCGCUGUAUACAUGGGAAGCACUUUGCGCACACGAAGCGUCAACCAUCUAUCAAUAGCAAGUAUUAGACGUUCACAACUACAAAAGUCCUAGUAGUCUGCAACUAAUAUGUAUGAGUAUAAAGUAAUCAAAUAGAUAAGCAAUGCUAUACAUACAUACAUCCAUAGUAUAUCAUACAUAUCCAAAAUACAGCCACCACGGGUCAGCCAAUUCAUAUAUGUAUUGGCUGGUGUCAAAAUAAAGUACAUAGGCUAGUCCUCCUCUAGUUUGGUCAAUACUAAUAGGAGAUGUUAUCUAAUCUACGAUCCCUUUACCUCAGCCAGAUGGAGCAGGAGCUAAGUUAUCUAAAACCAAAAAAUAACAAAAAAAGUGUGAAAACUAUUAAAUUGUAGUCCCUAGUAAGUCCUAUCGUCGACGACAAUGGCACAACCACUAGGUCUAUUAGAGACAAAGUUAGUACAGAUAGCUAAAUGAAAGUAGGAUAUAUAGAGUUGGUGAAAAUAAAUUACCACUAUCAUACCUCUAUACUACUACUGCUGAAAAUUGUAAUUCAUAAAUAGCAUGCAUCAACUAGUUAUUGAAUAAGUAAAACUGUAACCCAAUCACACUGGCCGACUUGUAAGUCUCGUCAAGCCUGCGCUCGCCUCACGCUCGGCCCCCACCUUGACUCCGUGGUCUGUCGACGCAGAGGCUAUCUAUACACUAAAUUAGCCGCCAGCCUCUAGAGGGGCACUCGAGGGGCGCGACUCGUUUGAGUAUAAUAGCAUAUCUAUCAAGCACAAUCAAGCUCCUGCAGGCUAAGUCAUAUGUGAAUGAUCAACCAGAUUAUAAUAAAUAUUAUCAAGGUGCCCACGGCACAAUCAGGUAUAACUCACUGUUUAAAAUUGCUGAAUUAAUCCACAACAACAAUAAAUUGUAAGCUGUCCAUAAUCUGUCAUCUCUCAAAUCCUCGGUGUAUAUCAAACUAACAGGUUAUGCAUAACUGUGGUGCCCAUAGGGAAAGAGAGUAAGAAGAAGGAGACUAAGAAUGAUAGAUAAGCCUCAGGGCGUUGAGUGAGAAAAGAGUAGAUGAGAAACAUCCCUGAACUAUUUAUAAACAAAAUACAAUUGCAGCCCAACCCAUAGAAAAUUAGAAAUAAUGCACCUUAGCUCAAAUACGCACUUUCGGGCACUAGAACUAGCCUUUCGGGCAUCCGAAUCUACGAUAGCUGUGUCCACUCCCUCUUUCAUGUGCUCGGACAGAAGCCUAAACUUGUUGUAGCUGCACGUGGACACUUCGGGUGCCCGAAAUCUUGUGCCUAAAACACCUAUGAGUCACUAUGCACAUGUCGAGGCAACGAUCAGAUCAUCACCAACCUACAUCUGGGUUUCUACAGUACUAUUGGGAGUCCGGAACUAGGAUUUGAAUUCACAUCCAAAGCCUGCUUGCUAGCGCCUUAAACAUCUUUUGGGCGUUUGAAACUCAUAAAACUUCAGUUUUAACAGGAUUUUCAAUCUCGAGUCUGUUUUCGCAUUCAUUUAGCGUCAAAAUGGCUCCAAUCCUGUCCAGCAAUCCACAUACGUGCUAACCAACUAUAUAUCCAUGUUGCAACCAAACCCAGUUGUCGAGGUCCAGAAAACUACAAAAGCAUUUGACUUAAGAAAACAGAGUUUCCAAUUCCUUUGCCAUGAAGAAUGAAAGUCCACAUUACAUGUAAAUAAAGUAUUAUAUAAAUUUGAAGCUUAGCUAGAAAUGUGAAUCAACAAGGAUUCGAACUUGAGACCUCGGGUACCAACCACCAAGCUUAAAGACUCUGUCCAUAGAGCUUCGUGAGCUCUGUGCGCUGAAGAAACGCAAGGAGAAGGUGACUGAGCUUCUGGCGAAGAAGGAGACUGGGAAGAAGGUGGCUGAGCUUCUGGAGAAGGAGACUAGGAAGAAGGUGGCUGGGCUUCUGGAGGAGAAGAAAUCUGGAAAGAAGGUGGUUGAGCUUCAAGAAGAGAAAAAGACUGGGAAGAAGGCGACCGAGUUUCAGGAAUAGAAGAAGACUGGGAAGAAGAUGGUGCUCUCCCCGAACCCACGACGUGAUCCGCAAGCGAUGAUUCUAGGCACGACUGGCGACGGGAAAGCCGCCUUCAAAGAUGCUCCCUGUGAUCUCGCCCCUGCUGGUGCGUAUUCUGUUUCGCAGCAGAGACCCAACGAGAUUUACUUGGAACUAGGCAAGGGAGUUAAAGCAGCCACCCACCUCUGUAAUCAUGGGUACGAGGGCUGCUCCAACUUCAAGAAGGUUACCUGGGCAAACACAUUAACUCGGACAGCCUACUUCAGACAAGAUAACCCCCUUCAAAUCUCUAGAUCAUUUACUGCACCCACCAAAUCUCAAGCUGCUGACAACUUUGGACCAGAGAACAAGCCUCGGCCUGAUAGGCAAGACUGGAAGAAGCGCCCCCCAUCCACGUCUUUUAAGAGGACGUACAGGGACGUGCUCCUCAGCCCUGGUUCUCCCACUCUACCUCCACUCCACCCCGCUCUCGCUCGUCGCCUCCGAGAUCGCAUCUUUCCCCUUCUUCGAACAGUGGUCGAUUUUCCUUCAAAGGCAGAUGUUAUAGGUGCUUGGGAAGGGAUCACUGGGUUGCUCACUGUCACGAUCCUAUUAGGUGCACCAAGAGCUUCAAGUCGGGCCACAGAGCUAAGCACUGCAUGCAACAUCUGCUGAUGGAGAUCUAUAGAGCAAUGCGCGUCGGGCUUGCGUAUCUUUCCGUUUUUGUUCCCUUGUCCGAUGACUUCUGGGCCCGACAAAAUCGCCGCAGAAAUGCUAUCCUGGUAGAUGUCGUCCCCCCGACCAAUCUCGGUCAUUUCCCUCAGGACACUAUCGCAAAUGGCCUUGCGAGUCCCUUCGGAAGGUACACAACCGACUUCCACAUUGCAAGGUACCGCGAAAGAGACUUCGUCGUUUUUCUCUCGGAAUGGGUGCCAUGCGACGACCUCAUCCACAGGGACAUCCUCAGUCUGGGGGAUUUUUGACUGCGCUACUUUCCCUGGAAUCCAUACAGUGCCGCACGGCGGCCGCCACUCACCUACAAAGCCUGGAUUCCUUUUGUUAGUCUUUCGUACGAGUGCUGGUCCUCUCGAACCGUGGCGGCUCUCGUCAGCGGUUUCGGCCGGUUCAUCAGAUCGGAUGACUCCAGCGCCUGCAUCGUCGACCUUUCUGGCUACCGGUGCCUGGUAGACGUCAACCACCUCUUCGAUAUUCCUUAAAACUUGGAGAUCUCCUUUGGGGAUCUAUCGCUUUCGGUGCUAAUCCAGCUGGAAAGGUGGGCUCGCAGCAAAGGAGGAGAGGCGUGCUAACCCCCACAAUGAACGCACGGAUCAGCACGACCCGCCUGCCAGACCUUCUUUUGGAGACAGCCAGCUCUCCGUCAGCUCUGCGCAAGGGAGACACAUGGAGAUCGGCGGUUCAUCUAACUCCGACGCCUCCUGGAAUUCUUCCAAAAUCCGCGAUAGACGACGCGAUGCUUUUCCUCCACAACGCGAUGCCCUCCCACCGCCACACGACGCUCUCCCUGUACCACGCGUCGCUCUCCCUCCACUACGACAAAUGGCUGGGCAGUCGGCGCCUCCUAUCAUCCCUCUGCGACGCAAUGCCCUCCCUCCGCCACGCGAGGCUCUUACUCCGCCGCGGCUUAUGACUGGGCAGCCGGCACCUCCCGCUACUAUUUCUUCGGCGAUCGGCAGAGCGACCGUCCUGAGGAGUGCCUUUCACUUUCACUUUCAAAUUCCCACGCCGUUGGGUUUUCCAUUCUCGUUCAACCUGACACCGGCUCUACCUUUUCCUCCUUCCCCUUAACUGGCUCUUGCCUCUCCAGCACCAUUAAUGCACUCUUACCUAAAUAUGGAAACCCCCUGGCUGACCCUUGGUUCUUGCACCUAGAAGCUUCUGACAAAGCGGGAUUUCAUGGGAUUUUCAACUCUGCGGAUCAUCGCCGGUGCAUUUAUUUUAACUUCCGGCCAUCCUUCUCGGAUGACCCGCGUAUCCUCACUGCAUUAGACCCCGCACCUUGCUCGUCCAGUCCGUGGUGGACCCUCACCUACUUAAUCUCUGAUCCUGGCUGCUUUGGGUUGGGGCUCAACCUCCAUUUAUCUGUCUCUGGCCGUGAUUCGUUUAUCUCUAAUUGUCUUGGGUCCUAGCCCAGCAAUGAUCUGGCGUCGGCCUUCCCAUGGAACGACUUUGGCAGCCUACCUCAAGAUGUGCCGCACCUGUCUGCUACUGAUUGCCUCACCCUAGAUGCGCCCAGAUUGAGUGCUCGCUUGGCCACGCUGAUGAAGGACUCUAUGUUAAGUAGGGCGAUGCGCAGAAAAGCGCACCGCCUCGAGGGGGGACCAACCAUGCCGGCGACUUCAGUGCACAAGAGGUUCAAAAAGAAAAUCAAGGCGCGGAGCCUGCUCUGCGGGGUGUCACUCUCCGAUUUUGACGCUACGGAAUUUAAAAAAUUCCUGUCGAUAGAAGCCUAGAUGUAGUAUGCCUGUCGAGUCUGUGUCAACUACUGCUGUAUGUGUUUUUCGUUUUUUCGAUGUUUAACUUGUUAAGUUGGAAUGUCCCUGGUCUGCAUGAUCCGGCCAAGCGUUACUGUGUCAAGUUCGUGUUGUCUAAUCUCUAUAGUACUGUCGUCUGCCUUCAAGAAACUAAAGUGGAUUCCGUGUCCCGUUCGUUCCUUCGUUCUUGUUGCGGCUCUUGCUACGACCGGUGCCACUUUAUCCCCGUUUUCGGGACCUCUGGCGGUUUACUCACGUGCUGGAAUUCUAAUUUUUUUUAAGUGUAACGAGGUCUUGGUUCGAGAGCAAUCACUCACUCUCAACCUAACCCAUCUUGCUACCGACAAGACCUUCUAUCUCACUAACGUCUACGGGUCCCCCACUUAGGACGGAAAAGAAGAUUUUUGCUCUGAACUGCUUGCACUCAACGGGACCUGUUCCAAUAGGUUAUUUGCGGCGACUUUAAUUUCACCAGAAACCAAGCCGAAAAAAGAGGAAACCCUUGGAGCUCCAAAUCCAUGGCAAUGUUCUCGGAUCUCAUCUGAAACCUAGCGGUCAUUGAUUUACCGCUGUCGAACCAAACCUACACCUGGUCUAACACGUAACAAAAACCCUCCCUGGCCAAACUCGACAGAUUCCUCGUCUCCACCGAGUGGGACCUUUCAUUCCCCCUUAGCAAGGUCAAGGCUUUCCCGCGGAUCACUUCUGACCACACACCGAUCGUUCUCUUCACCGGACUCCUCCCCAUGCCGCGGAGAUUUCGAUUUGAAAGGAUUUGGCUCACCAAGGAUGACUUUCUGUCGAACGUGCCGAAAUGGUGGAAUGAAGUCCCUUGUAAGCAAUCAACCAUCCUCUGUAUAACUCCUAAGCUUAGUCAUUGCAAAACUAGGAUAAAGGAAUGGUGCAAGUCCAACUUCCACAGUAUAUCCCACACAAAGAAGCACAUACAGGAGGAACUUCAAGAAUCGACCACCUAGAGGAACACUCUAACCUGUCUCAAAAACCCUGGAUAAACGGACCAAUCUCAAAGGGCAACUACAGCUUAUCUUAAAGGAGGAAGAAAUCCUCUGGAACACCAGGGCCAAACAACUCUCGCUCAAAGAAGGUGACGAAAAUGCUAAAUUUUUCCACGCCGUGGCUAAUGGCCGGAAACGAAGCAACGCCAUUGAAAUCAUUGAGGAUGAAUUAGAAAAGCAAAUCACCAAUGAAGAGGACAAUAUAUUCUACUUCUUUCACGCUUUUAAACGCCUAUUUGGUCACGCGGAUGAAUGUCUUCCUUCAUACGGAAUUGGAGUAACCUCUAUCACUCUAAUAGAUUGUGCAACCCCGACUCCCUAACGUCCCCAUUCACUCUUGAGGAGGACAAGACAGCUACCUUCCAACCAGGCAGUGACAAGGUCCUCGGGCUAGAUGGCUAUCCCCUUAUUUUCUUCCAAACCUUCUGGGAGACGGCAAAGAAGGACAUUUUCAAUGUAUUCCUUGACCUGCAGGCUGACAGACAUUUUACGGGUCCCAUCGAUUAUUCAUUUGUGUGCCUCAUCCCCAAAAAAGAAGGACCGCGCAAGGCAAAUGACUUCCGACCGAUCAGUCUCAUCAACGGAAUACAAAAAAUCAUCUCUAAAGUCCUCGCCAAUUGACUUGCACUUACACUGCCGUCCAUAAUCUCCCUUUCCCAAUCGACCUUCCUCAAAGACCGGCUACUAAUAGACUCAUUUGCUAUAGCAUGCGAACUAGUCAACUGGUGCUCAAAAUCUGGCACGAAAUGCGUUUGUAUCAAGGCCUAUUUCGAAAAAGCUUUCGACAAUGUCAUAUGGACCUUCUUGCAAAGCAUCCUUAGAUGGCUCGGCUUCAGUGAAAAAUGGUGGUCCUGGAUCGAACAAUGUAUAUGCAAUGCCAAAGUCGCUAUUUUAGUGAAUGACACCUACCCCGACUAGAUGGCUAAAAGCUAAGAAGGGCCUUAGACAGGGAGACCCGCUCUCACCCUAUCUCUUUAUUUUAGUUGCUGAUUGCCUAGCCAGGCUGACCGAAACCGCUAGGGGCAACAAUCUACUACGUAGAAUUGGCCCAACUGAGGACUGCGAAACGGUGCUCCUUCAGUACGCCGACGACACAAUAUUUUUUUGCGAACCCAGAAAACAUUUCAUGAGGAACCUUCAGUUUCUUUGGAAGAUCUUUGAGUGGGCCUCUAGACUUAGGAUUAACCAGAACAAAUCGGAAUUGUACUACUUGGGAUCUCGACCGCGCAAAGCCGACAGAUUGGUCAACAUCCUAGGAUUUAAAGUGGGCAAGCUAUUGUUCGCUAUUUGGGCCUACCACUUUACAAUAAACAAUUACGUAAGGAAGAUUGGGCCUUCGUAAUCAACCGCGUCAACGCAUGAAUCGACGGAUGGAAAGCUAAACUCCUAUCUCAAGGAGGAAGACUUAUUCUCGUCAACUCGGUUCUUACCAACUUACCGCUAUUUCACUUAUCUACUUUCAAAGCACCAUAUUGGGUACUACACAGGAUCGAGGGCCGAAGAAGAGCGUUUUUCUGGAAAGGGACUUCUACUAUCUUUGGAUGAGAAUGUCUCAUCAGCUGGAAAACCAUCUGUAGAAGCAAGAUUGAAGGAGGGCUAGGGAUCAAAAAUAAUGGACGCUAUGAACAUAGCCCUCUUAACCAAAUGGUGGUGGCGCUUUCUCAACGAACCAAAUCUCCCGUGGUGCAAACUAAUAAAUUCUCUUUACUACACCAGACGUAAACCGCUACAUGACGGCAGAGCCUUCGUCCCCUAUUCGUAAUGGUGGAAAAGUGUGGUCCGAUGUUGUGAUGUGUUCAAAUGCAGCGUAUCCUACGAACUAGGCCGUGGUACUAAUAUCAAGUUGUGGUCUGAUAUCUGGAUUGGAGAAACCCCUCUACGCACGCUGUUCCCAUAUAUCUUUUCCUGCUCUAUUAUUUAGUUUUUAAUCCACACUCUUUUUUGUCUUUCGGAGGCCUUAGCUGCUUCCACCCUGGACGCUUAAUUCAUUUGUUUUAAUGAAUGAAGCAGCUACCUCUUUCUCAAAAAAGAAAAAAAUAAUUUGAAGCUUAGAUGAUAUAAUAGUGACAUUUAACCUAGGAUGUAACGUAUGGUGUUAAACAUAGUGAUGCAUAGACAUCUAGGAAAACUUGAGCUAGAGAACAAAAGGACUUACAAAUGAACUGACCCUUGGAAGUCAUGAGAACUUAAUUAGUGUGUAACUAAGAUAUAAGUUACCAAUCGUCCCUAGAGCAACUGGCAAAGGACUUGGUGGUUGGUACCUGAGUGUACCAGUACAGAGCCAGAGAACCCUCAACCCGAGCCUUGGGUUGAGAUUUUCGUGGGGCUUGUACCAGUACAAGGACUCGUGUACCGGUACAAGGAGGCUGAUUUCGUGCAGUUUGAACUGCAGGGGUGUUUUGGCAAUUGUGGACUUCUUAUAUCAACACCCACGCCCUUGAGGCCUCCCCUGAGCUCACCAGCAGCAAGAGGAGAGGUAAGGGAGCCCUCCACACUCUCCCCCUUGAUUUCCUUGGUUUUUAUUUGGAUUUAGAGAGAUUAAAGCCUCUCUUUUUGCUCCUUUUUGGGUGUUGGAGGCUUUUCCACCAUUGGAGCUUGGGAUUGGAGCUUGAGAGGAGGAAGAUCUCCACACUUGGUGAACUUAGAACCUUGAUUGAAACUUCUAAGAGGUUAGUAACCCCUUCUCCUCCUCUAGAUUUGAGUUUUGUUGCUUUUUGAUAGUUGGAACCCUAGAAUGAGGUUUUAGGAUUAAUUUUGGGCAUUUUGAUUCUAGGGCUUUUGGGGCUAAAUUAUUUGGAUUAGAGCACUCCUUUGGGUUGGAUUGGAAGGAUCUUAGCCUUCUUUUGGAGCUUGUGAGAGUUUUUCUCCACCCUAGGUGAGAUCUUAGCCCUUUUGCCUUGUUGGUUAAUAUUUGAUCUUAUAGUUGAUAUUAAUGCCCGUGUAUCUCUUCGCUUAAUAUUUUUAGGGUAUUUGGAGACUCGUGGACAACUCCGUUCGGUGAAUCGAGGGAUUAUGCGACGGUUCGGUGGGUUUGACCUAGCCACACAAUGAGAAAUCUCAUUGUUGAUGAUUUAAGUGUUGUAAAAUGAAAAAGCAUCCAUAUUCUUGUUAUAUGUAUUUAUUGUGAAUUUUAAAAUGCUUAAAAUGCCUAUGUUACAUAUAGUGCAAUUUUGGACUCCUAUAUAGUAGAGAGUUGCAUAUGAAGCCUAUGUUUGAUUGUUUAGCAUUCUUAUAUUGGGCCAUGUUCCUUAUAAUGAAAAUGAGCUUGAAUCAUGCAUUUAAAUCUAAGUUUAUUUGUGACAUGAAAGUUAGCUAAUAUGCCAUAAAGAGGCAUCAAACUAGAAUGUUAUGUGAAUUAGAGAGCUAAUGUCAUCAAGCGGCAUUGAGCUCGGGACAUGGGUGAACCUAGUGGAUAGGGCCAUUGAGGGAUUUGGUGUAUGCUCAACAUUGAAAUGUCGAAGUGUCAUCAAGGGGCACUAGACUUCAUGAACGUUGGAACUUUAAUUGUGACUUAGACCUAGAUCUUCAGGAUGCUAGUAACUAUACCAUGUUAGAAACAUGAGGAUUGGAUACUUGAGACUUGGACUACGCUUGCUUGCCAUUUGUGCUCAUUCGCACAUGCUUGUGAGGGUCGCUCCCUACAAGCCGGCACUCCGGAGUUAGUCUACGCGACUUAUGUUCGCUCGUGCGGUAUUGAGAUGCCUACGGGGUCGAGUGGGAUAGACACAUUCCAAGAGUAGGGAUGUUGGGCUACCACAGGCACUUAGGCGGCACAAGCUGGACUACCUUUGGUAGGUCCUUGAUUGGAAAUGAAAAUCGACACGGUGUUGUGUGUGUUAUAAUCACUACUAGAUAGAGAGUAGUAGUUGGGUUACUUGGACUUGCUUCUAGCAUAGUUUUGGACACUAGAGUAUAUAUACAUACAUGUAGUAUGCUAGGAGAUGUUGUUUAUUGCAUCCAUAUAUAUAUUGUUGCCAUGAUAAAGCAUGAUCUUUAUAACUUCAUAAAGUGGACCGUGACAAUUACCUGUGGCCAUGUUGAGACAUAUUACUUGUGCAUUGAACAUUCUUUAUUAUGAAAGAGUAAAUGUAGAACAUUGACAUCGUAAUGUUUAUGGUAUAGUAAGCUUAGUAAACAUGCAUACUUUCAUACCGCAGUUAUCAUUAUCAUUAUUGUUGUUUACCGUGCUUACUCGUUUCUUCUGGGGCCUAGUGGUGCAUUGAGCUGAGGUCAGUAAUUGCCCACUGGAAACUAUAAAUUAUAGUUCUCACGCCCUCGUUUUCUUGAUGUUUUUCAGAGCCUUCCAUGUCGGGAGAGGCUAGAGACCGCGGGAAGGGAGUUGCUUCGAGCUAGCUUCCUUCGAGGACGAUUUGAUAGGUGGUCUACCUCUCGUUAUUUUAUUUUGUGAGAGGUUGAGAGUUGUACCCGUAUAUAUAUAGAGACCACCCUUCUUUUGAAUUUUUGUAUUUCUUUUGAGGAGUUUGCAUUGUAUCACCUUGUGCUUUACUAUUAUGGAUUAGUAUAUUUCCUUUAUUCUUGUUUUAGAUGAUAGAACUUUACUUACUCUGAUAUCGUUAGAUAUUAUUCAUUCCUAGUCGUUGUAAUUCUUGCUUUUACUUCCGCUUUUAUUUUAGACGCCUUAUAUGUGUGGACAUAUGGCGGGUCUGGGCACGCUACCGGGAGGGCCUCCGCCGGUCCCGGGGCGUGACACUGAGGUUCCGAGUUCGAAUCCUAGUUGAUUCACAUUUCCAGCUAAAUUUAUUUCUAAAUGAAAUAAAUGAAGCAGGUAGCGUGCUACCUAUCUCUCUCUCUCAAAAAAAAAGAAGAUAUAAGUUAUGACUUUUCGAAAGUGUCAUAUUGGGAGAUGUCGACUCUCCUUAGCUCACUACUUCAUAUUGGGAGAUGCCGAUCAUUCUCGACUUUCUCUAUCAUGUUUGGUGAUACCGAUUUCCUUUGACUCCAAAUGCCUACUGAUUGGAAAGAUGCCGGUCGUCUUCGAAUAAUUGUAAAAAUUAGUUUCUAGAAAAUUCAUAUAAUUUAUACCGUAUAUAAUAGAGGUGAUUGUUGAUUUGGAAAACUUAUCACCCAUAACAAUGUGGAAAAGGUUUUGUUUGUUUUUAAAAGUAUCCUUACUUUACUCUAACGGGAAGCAAAAGACAAGUUGCACUACAACAAAAACGGUCUAUAGCGACACUUUUAAAUAUAGGUACAUGUCAAAAAAGUGCUGCUAGCUAAAAUUACCGACACUUUUAAAAAGUGUUGCUAUAUGUGGGGUCGCUAGGUAUAUAGUGACAGUUAAAGAGUGUUGCUAUAACCUAAAAGAGUGCUGCUAAUUUACUAACACUUAUUUAAGCAUUUAGCAACCGCCGAAACUCUAUCUCGUUAGCUGCGGUGGCGGAGGAGGACGACAGAAAAGGCUCUUCGUCUAGAAUUUCAGUGGAUUGAGUGAAGAGAGAAGAAAAGAUGGUAAUUGAUUUUUCUUUUUUUUUCUUUCUAUUUGUAAUUCGGGCCAAAUGGAUGAGUGUGAUGGGUUGAAAUAGAGUAAUUCUUUUAUCGUUUGUUGAUUGCUUUUAUAUUUAACAUUAGUAGAUAUUAUUUAUUAGUUUUAGGAUAAAUGGGACAGCUUACUCAAAAGUGUCUCAAACAUGUGAUGCCCUCAUAACCUAAUUCUGUUUGAGUAGUUGAGAUAUUGAGACUGAGCAUCGAAAUAAAUCUUCUUUGGCAACUAAACAAUAACGGAAAACUGUAUUGCCGUUAGGAAGGCAAAACUUGACGCCAUCUAACAUAUCUCAAAAUACAAAUUGGACACUUCCAUACUGACACUCCUAUUAAAACGCUUCCGCGUGUGUUUUUGAAUAAAGUUAUGUUAAAAAGUACAAUAUGUCUCUCUGUUUUUUAAUCAAAGACUUGCAUUCUCUCUUCUUAAAAUCUUGCAACAAGAGACCUAAACGAUGUUAACUUAUAAAAAAUUAAGCAAAAUCACGUGCUCCGGACGAGUGGACAGCAAAGAGUGCGCUUUGACAAUAUCACAUAUAUAUAUAUAUAAACUAAAUACCUACUAUAUAAUAGUAUAUUAUAUAUACUAAAUAUACUAAUACUAAUAAGUACCACCAAUGAGUUGUUUAUAUUUAAAGUUACUAAGUUAUUGGUGGCCUGUAAAUUUUUUACCAUUUGACUUAAGAGAUAGCGGUUACGAAUGUUGGCCCUUCUAAGGGUUGAGUGGUGGUUGAUUGAAUAGUAUAAUCUUAUGAUUGAAAAUUGAUUCGAAAAGUAGGAUCUACACGGUAAAAACUGACCAACAUUAAUACUGUGGCUUUUACAAGCAUCAUACACUGAUAUAUAUAAAUAUACCUCCAUAUACCUAUAUAUAUACCUAAUAUACUAUACAUACUAUAAUAUAACCAUCAGUAACGUGAUACUUCCUGGAACCCUAACCAAGAACGUAGUUGAACUGAAUUUGUAAAAAAUAAUAUCCAAGCAUCACUCAAGACAAGAUCGUCUCGUACAAUUUCACUUGUUUAAUAGUUGGAAUCUUGAAGCAUAAGAAAUUCUUUAACUUCAGCGUGUUUUAUGCCUACCUGGAGUGUAAAUCAGGCCAAAGGGGGGUGUUUGCGUGAUGUACAAUGGAUGGAAUCAGAUAAAUUGUUCGGUGGAUGCAAAGUGGUUUGCUAUCAUUUGUUAUUCGUCGUAAAAAUUUUUUGGAAAAAUACUUUUACGUAUUUAAGGGAAACUUCUAUUUCGUUUUCCGCGUGUGAGGUGGAUAACGAAAACUCGAGGCAAAUCGCGUCUCGCGGCGGCGGGCUUUGUCACGGUCCAGGAGGCCCAAGCGGCCUCAUGGACUCGCAUGGAGGGAGUCCAACGGUGGACCUCCUCUUAUAUAGAAUAGCUAUCAUAUACUAUAUACUCUACUAUAUAAUUUAUAUCAUAUACUGCGGUUUUGAAUGAUGGCGGGCCCCCUAAGGGUUGAAGUGGGUGGUUGGUUGAAUAGGCAUGAUUACGGGUGACAAUAUCAAAGGUAUGAUCUAACAGCGGAAAACUGGUAGCACCAAGUGCGUCGUGCUAUUAUAACCAAGUCAGUCCGGACUAUAUAUAUAGUAUACUAUAUAUAGUAUUUUAUUUUUAUAUAGAGAUAUUAUUAUAUAAUAUUUUAUUUAUAAAUUUAUAAUUAUUUAUUAAUAUUUAUAAUUAUUAUGUAUUAUGUUUAUUAUAAUUUUAAAUAUAUUUAAUCUAUAUAUAGAAAUUAUAAUAAUAUAUAUAGUAUAUUAAUUAUUAUAUAUUAUAAAUAUAUAUAAUAAAAAUAUAUUAAAUAAUUUUUUAUCUAUAUUUUUUUUUUCUUUCAACCAAACAACCGUUACGGAAAACUAUUUUUCUUUUCUUACAAAUCAAACACUAAACGAUAUAAAACUUUUUUUCCACUGAAAUUUUUUUUUCCACAGUUUUACGUGAAACCAAACACACCCUAAGUUGAACAAAGGCGGCCGGUUCAGCCAGGCUAUGGGUCGUGCUGAUCCACGACAGAUCCACGACUGGGCCUUGCUGUCGUGGAUCAAUGGAUAAGGGCGUCCAACAGGAAAGCUUUACUCUCCCAGUCCAAAGAAGGCACAAUGUGUGGAAGGUAAGCAUAAAACUAGCAAUAAACGUAUACAUCUAAUAUAUGCAAAAAGAGAACAAGUAUUAUUAUGUCUCCGUCAAUACAGAUAAUGAAAUCUUAGUAAUUCAACCCGUAAAUAUGCUUACUAUUAUCAGUACCCAAUUCACAAGGAUCAAAAAUACAAAGUUCGUUCUAUCAUGCAUCAAGCUAGCCAUUGGCGGCGAAAUCAUCACACUCACCUUAGGAUAUAUGUCUAUGGACAGCAAAAACGUCGCACUCUCUUAGGGCCAAUUAAUAGGUGGUGAAUUCAUUAUACUCAUCAUUAUACUCACUUUCAUUGAUGGAAAGGAUGAGAAGUAAAUGACAUCGUUUACUUCCAAAACAUAUUCUAUACUAAAUCUCUCUCUCUCUCUCUCUAUAUAUAUAUAUAUAGAGCUAGUCUCCUAUAUUAUUUAUAGUACCGAGGCUCCGAUACUAUAGUCCUGUUUUCGAUUUUAGGGUGUUCAAAUCAACGAUCCAUACUAUUAAAACUGAUCUAGGGUAUUUAAAGUUUUUAGAAAUAAAAUUUUAUAUUUUUUUGACAUAGUUAUUUUAUGAUCAAAUCAUUUCAAAAUUGUCAAUUUUUAAUGGUUACUAUAGCGAGUUUGGAGGUUAACGAUGUAGAAGAAUCUAAAUUUCUUCAAAUUUGAUAGAAAAUACUUUAAACUAUCAAGAUUAAGGUUAACAUUCUUGAUUUUGAAUUUAAAAGUCUUAUACUCAAAUUUUAAAGAUUAUUCAAUUUCUACUGUCGGGCUACUAAACUCUUAUGAGUAUUGGGUCCUUCGUACUCAUAAGUUGUUUUCGAUGAUGGGGCUUCCGAAUCGACGAUCCAUUCCGUUAAAUAUGAUUUAGAGUAUUUGAAACUUCUAAAAAAUAAAUUUCGUAAUUUUUUGGAAUCAUAAUAAAAUCCAUCAAGCGGGUAUAAAAUUAAUGAACGGUCGAAAUCGAACGACGUCCUAAAAAUGGAUGAUCAGAUCCUUCAAUUUAAGAUCGGAGUUAUUGAUCUUUAUCUAAAUAGCGAAUAGAAUUUUUUAUUAAAAUUCAACCGAUUCCGAUUCUUUUACACCGUUAAACUAGCAAGUAUCCCAUACCGGCCGUUAAAAAUUAUCAAUUUUGUGACCUUUUGAUCGUAAGUUAAUGAUGUCAAAAAAUUAUGAAAUUUGAUUUUUAGAAGUUUUAAAUACUCUAGAUAACAUUUGACGGUAUGAAUCGUCCAUUUGAAAACUCUAUCAUCGAAAACAACUUAUGAGUACG
rnacentral:lncRNA from 1 species